UGGGGAAUUUUGGACAAUGGGGGAAACCCUGAUCCAGCCAUCCCGCGUGUGCGAUGAAGGCCUUCGGGUUGUAAAGCACUUUUGGCAGGAAAGAAACGUCAUGGGUUAAUACCCCGUGAAACUGACGGUACCUGCAGAAUAAGCACCGGCUAACUACGUGCCAGCAGCCGCGGUAAUACGUAGGGUGGAAGCGUUAAUCGGAAUUACUGGGCGUAAAGCGUGCGCAGGCGGUUCGGAAAGAAAGAUGUGAAAUCCCAGAGCUCAACUUUGGAACUGCAUUUUUAACUACCGGGCUAGAGUGUGUCAGAGGGAGGUGGAAUUCCGCGUGUAGCAGUGAAAUGCGUAGAUAUGCGGAGGAACACCGAUGGCGAAGGCAGCCUCCUGGGAUAACACUGACGCUCAUGCACGAAAGCGUGGGGAGCAAACAGG
rnacentral:rRNA from 1 species